AGAGUUUGAUUAUGGCUCAGGAUGAACGCUGGCGGCGUGCUUAACACAUGCAAGUCGAACGAAGUUAGAGAGCUUGCUUUUAAACUAGUGGCGGACGGGUGAGUAACGCGUGGGUAACCUGCCUUUCACAGGGGGAUAACAGUUAGAAAUGACUGCUAAUACCGCAUAAGCGCACAGGACGGCAUCGUCUAGUGUGAAAAACUCCGGUGGUGAAAGAUGGACCCGCGUCUGAUUAGCUAGUUGGUGAGGUAACGGCUCACCAAGGCGACGAUCAGUAGCCGGCCUGAGAGGGUGAACGGCCACAUUGGGACUGAGACACGGCCCAAACUCCUACGGGAGGCAGCAGUGGGGAAUAUUGCACAAUGGGGGAAACCCUGAUGCAGCCGACGCCGCGUGAGUGAAGAAGUAUUUCGGUAUGUAAAGCUCUAUCAGCAGGGAAGAAGAUGACGGUACCUGCACAAGAAGCCCCGGCUAACUACGUGCCAGCCGCGGC
rnacentral:rRNA from 1 species